rnacentral:rRNA from 1 species
ACGGAGGGGGCAAGCGUUGUUCGGAAUUACUGGGCGUAAAGGGCGCGUAGGCGGAAUGUCAAGUUAGGGGUGAAAGGCCUGGGCUCAACCUAGGAACUGCCUUUAAAACUGAUGAUCUAGAGUCCGGAAGAGGAUGGCGGAAUUCCCAGUGUAGAGGUGAAAUUCGUAGAUAUUGGGAAGAACACCGGUGGCGAAGGCGGCCAUCUGGUCCGGUACUGACGCUGAGGCGCGAAAGCGUGGGGAGCAAACAGG